rnacentral:rRNA from 1 species
GACGGAGGGGGCUAGCGUUGCUCGGAAUUACUGGGCGUAAAGGGCGCGUAGGCGGGAUGGCAAGUCGGUCGUGAAAUCCCUCGGCUCAACCGAGGAACGUCGAUCGAUACUGCUGUUCUUGAGGAUUGCAGAGGAGACUGGAAUUCCCGGUGUAGCGGUGAAAUGUGUAGAGAUCGGGAGGAACACCGGUGGCGAAGGCGGGUCUCUGGGCAAUUCCUGACGCUGAGGCGCGAAAGCGUGGGGAGCAAACGGG